CACCUCAACCAAAGGUCUGAAAGGUGGCAAAAAGAGAAGACUAGAUCCAGGGAGACGACAGGAAGCUCAAGAUGAAUGAGAAGUGCCACAUUCAGCUGUAGCAACGAGAUCUGAUGAUGAAGAUGAUGGAGGCGGUAACAGUACCAACUUGGACACUGAAAACACAGGCACCUACAAAAGGCCACCGAAGAUGCAGUCAAUUAAAGAAAGAAAUUAUGCUGAUGACGCUGAUGACGACAUGAGUGAUGUUUCUGGCAGUGAAUAUGGCGAUGGAGGGGUGUGCCAUAAGACAGUUAAGAAGACUGUCAAGAAAAAAAAGACAAUGUUGGGAAGACAUGGAUUGGUCUAUGACGCAUCUUUCACACAUGGCCAAGAACAACCAUCAACAUCAGGGAGCGCCACCAAACGAAAGAGGAUUGCAACACUUACACAUGACGACGAUGAUGUUGAAGACAGCGAUGAAGAGGACAAAAAGACUGGACACAGAUCUCUUGGGAAGAAGAAGACAGCAGUUCGAAAAGAACAUAGUGAAGUUGAAUUGGAAACUAAAAAAAGGAAGAGACCCGGACUCCAAAGGAAAGAGCAGCAAUUGAUCGACACCUUUCAAAAUUUGUAGCAUUAAAGAAAGUUCCAAGGAAAGAUGACUGCGUUAAGUGUCGUAGUCAAGCAUCGCCAGACCUUGAAGACCGCACAUGGAGAGAUAUUCCACAAUGAAAUUAUUAAAAGAUAUGUAAUUGGGAAAAAAGCUUGAAGAUGAAAGAUAGAGGGAGAGACAUAGGGGGGAGAUAGAUGAAGGGAGAGAGGGAAUGGGAUGAGAGAGAGGGGAGAAAAGGAAUAGAGUUUGAAAGCACAGUUAUUUGGUAGGGUAUAUGUGGGUUCAUGUGUCAGGUUGUGGCGCAGCAAGUUUUUUUAGUGUGCGUUUUGAAGGUUGAAGUUUUUCAGGUGUUCUUGUAAGUUUUGAAUAAGAGUACUUUUGUUUGUCAAAAAUAAAUCAUAAAGUCAAGUCAGCUUUUAUUGUCAAAUAUGCUCUCUGUGUAAUGUACAGCACAGAUUAAAAUACUUUCCUCUCUCAGCCACAGUGCAAACAUGUAGCGUAU